rnacentral:rRNA from 1 species
AGAGUUUGAUCAUGGCUCAGAUUGAACGCUGGCGGCAGGCCUAACACAUGCAAGUCGAGCGGUAGCACAGAGAGCUUGCUCUCGGGUGACGAGCGGCGGACGGGUGAGUAAUGUCUGGGAAACUGCCUGAUGGAGGGGGAUAACUACUGGAAACGGUAGCUAAUACCGCAUAAUGUCGCAAGACCAAAGUGGGGGACCUUCGGGCCUCAUGCCAUCAGAUGUGCCCAGAUGGGAUUAGCUAGUAGGUGGGGUAACGGCUCACCUAGGCGACGAUCCCUAGCUGGUCUGAGAGGAUGACCAGCCACACUGGAACUGAGACACGGUCCAGACUCCUACGGGAGGCAGCAGUGGGGAAUAUUGCACAAUGGGCGCAAGCCUGAUGCAGCCAUGCCGCGUGUGUGAAGAAGGCCUUCGGGUUGUAAAGCACUUUCAGCGGGGAGGAAGGCGNCGAUUGACGUUACCCGCAGAAGAAGCACCGGCUAACUCCGUGCCAGCAGCCGCGGUAAUACGGAGGGUGCAAGCGUUAAUCGGAAUUACUGGGCGUAAAGCGCACGCAGGCGGUCUGUCAAGUCGGAUGUGAAAUCCCCGGGCUCAACCUGGGAACUGCAUUCGAAACUGGCAGGCUAGAGUCUUGUAGAGGGGGGUAGAAUUCCAGGUGUAGCGGUGAAAUGCGUAGAGAUCUGGAGGAAUACCGGUGGCGAAGGCGGCCCCCUGGACAAAGACUGACGCUCAGGUGCGAAAGCGUGGGGAGCAAACAGGAUUAGAUACCCUGGUAGUCCACGCCGUAAACGAUGUCGAUUUGGAGGUUGUGCCCUUGAGGCGUGGCUUCCGGAGCUAACGCGUUAAAUCGACCGCCUGGGGAGUACGGCCGCAAGGUUAAAACUCAAAUGAAUUGACGGGGGCCCGCACAAGCGGUGGAGCAUGUGGUUUAAUUCGAUGCAACGCGAAGAACCUUACCUGGUCUUGACAUCCACAGAACUUUCCAGAGAUGGAUUGGUGCCUUCGGGAACUGUGAGACAGGUGCUGCAUGGCUGUCGUCAGCUCGUGUUGUGAAAUGUUGGGUUAAGUCCCGCAACGAGCGCAACCCUUAUCCUUUGUUGCCAGCGGUCCGGCCGGGAACUCAAAGGAGACUGCCAGUGAUAAACUGGAGGAAGGUGGGGAUGACGUCAAGUCAUCAUGGCCCUUACGACCAGGGCUACACACGUGCUACAAUGGCAUAUACAAAGAGAAGCGACCUCGCGAGAGCAAGCGGACCUCAUAAAGUAUGUCGUAGUCCGGAUUGGAGUCUGCAACUCGACUCCAUGAAGUCGGAAUCGCUAGUAAUCGUAGAUCAGAAUGCUACGGUGAAUACGUUCCCGGGCCUUGUACACACCGCCCGUCACACCAUGGGAGUGGGUUGCAAAAGAAGUAGGUAGCUUAACCUUCGGGAGGGCGCUUACCACUUUGUGAUUCAUGACUGGGGUGAAGUCGUAACAAGGUAACCGUAGGGGAACCUGCGGUUG